rnacentral:rRNA from 1 species
CAGUCGCCACGGUAAAACGAAGGGGGCUAGCGUUGCUCGGAAUGACUGGGCGUAAAGGGCGCGUAGGCGGCGGCCAAAGUCAGGCGUGAAAUUCCCGGGCUCAACCUGGGGGCUGCGUUUGAUACUUGGUUGCUUGAGUGGGGAAGAGGGUCGUGGAAUUCCCAGUGUAGAGGUGAAAUUCGUAGAUAUUGGGAAGAACACCGGUGGCGAAGGCGGCGACCUGGUCCUUUACUGACGCUGAGGUGCGAAAGCGUGGGGAGUAAACAGGAUUAGAUACCCCCGUAGUCCCUGUCUCUUAUAC